rnacentral:rRNA from 1 species
AUUAACGCUAGCUACAGGCUUAACACAUGCAAGUCGAGGGGCAGCAUGGUCUUAGCUUGCUAAGGCCGAUGGCGACCGGCGCACGGGUGAGUAACACGUAUCCAACCUGCCGUCUACUCUUGGACAGCCUUCUGAAAGGAAGAUUAAUACAAGAUGGCAUCAUGAGUCCGCAUGUUCACAUGAUUAAAGGUAUUCCGGUAGACGAUGGGGAUGCGUUCCAUUAGAUAGUAGGCGGGGUAACGGCCCACCUAGUCUUCGAUGGAUAGGGGUUCUGAGAGGAAGGUCCCCCACAUUGGAACUGAGACACGGUCCAAACUCCUACGGGAGGCAGCAGUGAGGAAUAUUGGUCAAUGGGCGAGAGCCUGAACCAGCCAAGUAGCGUGAAGGAUGACUGCCCUAUGGGUUGUAAACUUCUUUUAUAAAGGAAUAAAGUCGGGUAUGGAUACCCGUUUGCAUGUACUUUAUGAAUAAGGAUCGGCUAACUCCGUGCCAGCAGCCGCGGUAAUACGGAGGAUCCGAGCGUUAUCCGGAUUUAUUGGGUUUAAAGGGAGCGUAGAUGGAUGUUUAAGUCAGUUGUGAAAGUUUGCGGCUCAACCGUAAAAUUGCAGUUGAUACUGGAUAUCUUGAGUGCAGUUGAGGCAGGCGGAAUUCGUGGUGUAGCGGUGAAAUGCUUAGAUAUCACGAAGAACUCCGAUUGCGAAGGCAGCCUGCUAAGCUGCAACUGACAUUGAGGCUCGAAAGUGUGGGUAUCAAACAGGAUUAGAUACCCUGGUAGUCCACACGGUAAACGAUGAAUACUCGCUGUUUGCGAUAUACAGCAAGCGGCCAAGCGAAAGCGUUAAGUAUUCCACCUGGGGAGUACGCCGGCAACGGUGAAACUCAAAGGAAUUGACGGGGGCCCGCACAAGCGGAGGAACAUGUGGUUUAAUUCGAUGAUACGCGAGGAACCUUACCCGGGCUUAAAUUGCAGAUGAAUUACGGUGAAAGCCGUAAGCCGCAAGGCAUCUGUGAAGGUGCUGCAUGGUUGUCGUCAGCUCGUGCCGUGAGGUGUCGGCUUAAGUGCCAUAACGAGCGCAACCCUUGUUGUCAGUUACUAACAGGUUCCGCUGAGGACUCUGACAAGACUGCCAUCGUAAGAUGUGAGGAAGGUGGGGAUGACGUCAAAUCAGCACGGCCCUUACGUCCGGGGCUACACACGUGUUACAAUGGGGGGUACAGAGGGCCGCUACCACGCGAGUGGAUGCCAAUCCCCAAAACCUCUCUCAGUUCGGACUGGAGUCUGCAACCCGACUCCACGAAGCUGGAUUCGCUAGUAAUCGCGCAUCAGCCACGGCGCGGUGAAUACGUUCCCGGGCCUUGUACACACCGCCCGUCAAGCCAUGGGAGCCGGGGGUACCUGAAGUGCGUAACCGCGAGGAGCGCCCUAGGGUAAAACUGGUGACUGGGGCU